AAAGCAACCACUUAUUCAAGGCUUUAUACAAAAGCACCGACACCCGUCAUUUAAAGGGUACUAGAGAGACCAUUCCCUCAAAAAGAGGACUUACCUACUUUGGUAUACCAUACUGAAGUCUUGUAUACGAGAAAAACUACUAUUAACUACUGAUGAUAGCAAGUUUCUGGGGGUGAUUUAGCAAACUCAGACCUUUCUUCAUGUCAUGCUCUCAGACAUGAGGCUCUCAUUCUUUGGCACUCUCAACAGCAGGGAAAUCCUUUAUCUCAACUUCUUUGGUUUCAGAUUCAAAUGCUUCUGCACCACCAUUCUCAGUGCUCAGAUCACGAUGCUCCGCUGCAUCAUUUUCCUUUGUAUCUGCCUCACGCUCUGCUACUGUGACAUGGUCUGCAUGAUUGCUUUCCUUCGUCUCAGCACUCUGCUCUGCAUCAGCACCAUGGACUACAGGGGUGGCUUCAGUAGUCUCAGCAGUGAUUCCCGAAGUACCUUCAGA
rnacentral:misc_RNA from 1 species